AAAUUACUCCCUCCGUUCGGAAUUACUUGUCACAAAAAUGUAUGUAUCUACAACUAAAAUACAUCUAGAUACAUUCAUUUAUUCGACAAGUAAUUCCGAACGGAGGGAGUACAAU
rnacentral:pre_miRNA from 1 species